GGCGAACGGGUGAGUAACACGUGGGCAAUCUGCCCUUCACUCUGGGACAAGCCCUGGAAACGGGGUCUAAUACCGGAUAACACUCCUGCCUGCAUGGGCGGGGGUUAAAAGCUCCGGCGGUGAAGGAUGAGCCCGCGGCCUAUCAGCUUGUUGGUGGGGUAAUGGCCUACCAAGGCGACGACGGGUAGCCGGCCUGAGAGGGCGACCGGCCACACUGGGACUGAGACACGGCCCAGACUCCUACGGGAGGCAGCAGUGGGGAAUAUUGCACAAUGGGCGAAAGCCUGAUGCAGCGACGCCGCGUGAGGGAUGACGGCCUUCGGGUUGUAAACCUCUUUCAGCAGGGAAGAAGCGCAAGUGACGGUACCUGCAGAAGAAGCACCGGCUAACUACGUGCCAGCAGCCGCGGUAAUACGUAGGGUGCGAGCGUUGUCCGGAAUUAUUGGGCGUAAAGAGCUCGUAGGCGGCUUGUCACGUCGGAUGUGAAAGCUCGGGGCUUAACCCCGAGUCUGCAUUCGAUACGGGCUAGCUAGAGUGUGGUAGGGGAGAUCGGAAUUCCUGGUGUAGCGGUGAAAUGCGCAGAUAUCAGGAGGAACACCGGUGGCGAAGGCGGAUCUCUGGGCCAUUACUGACGCUGAGGAGCGAAAGCGUGGGGAGCGAACAGGAUUAGAUACCCUGGUAGUCCACGCCGUAAACGUUGGGAACU
rnacentral:rRNA from 1 species